rnacentral:rRNA from 2 species
UGGGGAAUAUUGCACAAUGGGCGCAAGCCUGAUGCAGCCAUGCCGCGUGUAUGAAGAAGGCCUUCGGGUUGUAAAGUACUUUCAGCGGGGAGGAAGGCGAUGCGGUUAAUAACCGCGUCGAUUGACGUUACCCGCAGAAGAAGCACCGGCUAACUCCGUGCCAGCAGCCGCGGUAAUACGGAGGGUGCAAGCGUUAAUCGGAAUUACUGGGCGUAAAGCGCACGCAGGCGGUCUGUUAAGUCAGAUGUGAAAUCCCCGGGCUUAACCUGGGAACUGCAUUUGAAACUGGCAGGCUUGAGUCUUGUAGAGGGGGGUAGAAUUCCAGGUGUAGCGGUGAAAUGCGUAGAGAUCUGGAGGAAUACCGGUGGCGAAGGCGGCCCCCUGGACAAAGACUGACGCUCAGGUGCGAAAGCGUGGGGAGCAAACA